CAACCAGUCCCACAAGGCUUUGCGUUCAUGCGAGUAGAGGAUUACUCUAAUGUGAAAAUCAUAGGGAUGUGUAGAAGGAUGCGCAAGUAGAGAACGGAAAAGAUUUCUAUCUCAGGAAUGUCUUUUGGCAGUAUUUAGGAGGAGGAGUGGGAAGCAGGCCAAACUGAGGAAAGCCAUGCUACUGCUCUAUGCCAGGGAACGGUGAUGGAGACAUACGGCGGAAGUACUGAGACUAUGAGAUGGACCUCGGUGAGAUUCCCCCCUUCCACCCUAGCCUCUCUAUUCAUGACUUCCAUUGAUGACUUCCAUGCUGGCCUGAAUAUGGAGCUCACUGGAUGGUGAAGCCUUCGGUUUUGAGCUAGAGCUUCAGGAUAGAGACACUAAGGCCUCUUCGGUGUGUGAAACGUCUACGUGCACACAAUCAGCAUUAGAGAGGAAAAAAUAUCCUUGCCUGAAGUAUGCAUUUUCUUCUAUUUCUAACACAUGCAAACCCAAUGCAGGUGCUGGCAAGCUGUUUGCCGGGGGCUCUGACAAUGAUGUAAGGAAGACCAGGGCCAACCGACCACCAUCUCCAAAGAGCGGUGCGGACCAUGUGUGGUGUGAACACUGCCUGUUUGUCCUUGCUGCAGUCCCAGUUAGCUGUGUGCUAACUGCACGAAUAAAGAACACUUCUGUGGAGCAACCUAACAUGUCUGUUUUCCAGAUUUCUGAAGAAAAAAAAAGCUUGAGACAUUCUAAUCUUAGCCAACAUUCUCGCUCAGCAUUG
ensembl:lncRNA AABR07014306.2